rnacentral:tRNA from 1 species
AGCCCUAUAGUCUAGUGGUCAAGGACGCAAGACUCUGGAUCUUGAGACCCAGGUUCAAAUCCUGGUAGGGCUA